rnacentral:rRNA from 1 species
CAGCCCUUGACAUGGCAGGACGGUUUCCGGAGACGGAUUCCUUCUCGCAAGAGACUUGCACACAGGUGCUGCAUGGCUGUCGUCAGCUCGUGUCGUGAGAUGUUGGGUUAAGUCCCGCAACGAGCGCAACCCUCGCCCUUAGUUGCCAUCAUUCAGUUGGGCACUCUAAGGGGACUGCCGGUGAUAAGCCGCGAGGAAGGUGGGGAUGACGUCAAGUCCUCAUGGCCCUUACGGGCUGGGCUACACACGUGCUACAAUGGCGGUGACAGUGGGAUGCAAUGGAGCAAUCCUGCGCAAAUCUCAAAAAGCCGUCUCAGUUCGGAUUGUGCUCUGCAACUCGAGCACAUGAAGUUGGAAUCGCUAGUAAUCGCAGAUCAGCACGCUGCGGUGAAUACGUUCCCGGGCCUUGUACACACCGCCCGUCACACCAUGGGAGUUGGGUUUACCUUAAGACGGUGGCGCUAACCGCAAGGGGGCAGCCGGCCACGGUAGGCUCAGCGACUGGGGUG